CUACAAAACAUUUUGGUGCAUUUAGCUUAUCCUCUAGAUUUUGCCAAACCUCAAUAGCCGACUUGAGUUUCCAUAGAACAGCUGGGAA